AGAGUUUGAUCCUGGCUCAGGACGAACGCUGGCGGCGCGCCUAACACAUGCAAGUCGAACGAGCGAGAGAGAGCUUGCUUUCUCGAGCGAGUGGCAAACGGGUGAGUAACGCGUGAGGAACCUGCCUCAGAGAGGGGGACAACAGUUGGAAACGACUGCUAAUACCGCAUAAGCCCACGACCCGGCAUCGGGUAGAGGGAAAAGGAGCAAUCCGCUUUGAGAUGGCCUCGCGUCCGAUUAGCUAGUUGGUGAGGUAACGGCCCACCAAGGCGACGAUCGGUAGCCGGACUGAGAGGUUGAACGGCCACAUUGGGACUGAGACACGGCCCAGACUCCUACGGGAGGCAGCAGUGGGGAAUAUUGCACGAUGGGGGAAACCCUGAUGCAGCGACGCCGCGUGGAGGAAGAAGGUUUUCGGAUUGUAAACUCCUAGUUGUUGAGGAAGAUAAUGACGGUACUCAACAAGGAAGUGACGGCUAACUACGUGCCAGCAGCCGCGGUAAAACGUAGGUCACAAGCGUUGUCCGGAAUUACUGGGUGUAAAGGGAGCGCAGGCGGGAGGACAAGUUGGAAGUGAAAUCCAUGGGCUCAACCCAUAAACUGCUUUCAAAACUGUUUUUCUUGAGUAGUGCAGAGGUAGGCGGAAUUCCCGGUGUAGCGGUGGAAUGAGUAGAUAUCGGGAGGAACACCAGUGGCGAAGGCGGCCUCCUGGGCACCAACUGACGCUGAGGCUCGAAAGUGUGGGUAGCAAACAGGAUUAGAUACCCUGGUAGUCCACACCGUAAACGAUGAUUACUAGGUGUUGGAGGAUUGACCCCUUCAGUGCCGCAGUUAACACAAUAAGUAAUCCACUUGGGGAGUACGACCGCAAGGUUGAAACUCAAAGGAAUUGACGCGGGCCCGCACAAGCAGUGGAGUAUGUGGUUUAAUUCGACGCAACGCGAAGAACCUUACCAAGUCUUGACAUCCCUUGACAGGCAUAGAAAUAUGUUUUCUCUUCGGAGCAAGGAGACAGGUGGUGCAUGGUCGUCGUCAGCUCGUGUCGUGAGAUGUUGGGUUAAGUCCCGCAACGAGCGCGACCCUUAUGGUCAGUUACUACGCAAGAGGCCUCUGGCCAGACUGCCGUUGACAAAACGGAGGAAGGUGGGGAUGACGUCAAAUCAUCAUGCCCUUUAUGACUUGGGCUACACACGUACUACAAUGGCGUUAAACAAAGAGAAGCAAGACCGCGAGGUGGAGCAAAACUCAGAAACAACGUCCCAGUUCGGACUGCAGGCUGCAACUCGCCUGCACGAAGUCGGAAUUGCUAGUAAUCGUGGAUCAGCAUGCCACGGUGAAUACGUUCCCGGGCCUUGCACUCACCGCCCGUCA
rnacentral:rRNA from 1 species